CCCGCGAGGGGGGAAGGGCGGGAGGGCGCCCCUGCGGGGCCUGUGGCGACUGAGCCGCGCACCGGCGCUCCCAGCGAAACGUUAAGGGGAGAGGCCGCCGUGCUGUGCUUCCCCGCCCGCGCUCCCCCGCGGGGAGACGGCGUGGGGCUGCCCCUGGAACGGGGGGACGGCCAGUGACCCCGGGCCGCGGCGGUCGGGGAGGAGGGGGCGGCCUUCUGCCUCAGGGAGAAGCGCCCCGGUUUGCUCGGUCGCGCUCCUCUGCGGCGGUCAGUCAGGGGCGGACCCGCGGCCUGCGUCACGAGGGGGCUUUUGUCUUCGUCGGGAUAUAAUUGUCGAUCUCUCCCCAGGCCAAACUCGGGGGCCCGGAGGUCUUUCGCACACAGAAACAAAAGCGUCUUUGGUGUGAAGUAGCAGCUGUGUAGCGGUUUUGAGGAACUAAAUACUACUGAUCUCUGUCUAAACUCCCAUUUAAGCCCUACUUUAGGAGGCUUAGGAUCUGUCUGUAAGGAUAGCGAAGUAAGCCUCAAGCCUGCGCUAAUACCCUCACUGACGUUACAGCUUAUGCGGCUCGCUCUAGAGCACGCCUGGGCUGCAGCUCACGGGGUGGCACGGUGGACCCAGGCCUGCCCUCCUGCGAGUUAGUGCACAACAUGGAUGCAAAACACAGCUAUUGUUCUACCUCAGCUAAGAUGUGCAGCCUGACUGGGGACACUACUAAGAGGUUUUAGGGUGUAAUCCCGGUGCCAGUCAGUUUAUUGUGGGUGCAUGAGGAUUCAAAAGCUGUCUCAGGGCUCUAGACUAAGGGGCCCCCAGGAGACACCCCACAUUUUCUGUGGAUUGCCAUGAAUUUUUCACGGACUACAAUUCACUCUGACCGUUAGAAUUUCAGGUGUAAAUGGAGUGGCUUCCGUGGACCUGCUAUGAGCCAUGCACUACAGCCUCAGUCCAUGGUCUGCAAGUUGGCAUUUGGCAUUGUACUAAAGCUUCCAAUCUGUUCUGCAGUGGGGGCCAAGCUUCAUGGAAAAUCUUUAGGCCUCAUGCUUGUGUCUACAUAUUUGCCAUUCUGUUAAAGACGUAUUGAUAUUUUUUGUAGAACAUAAUUUAAUGUGAGAUACAAAAUAUAAAAAAAAAAUUGUAAAAUGCUAAACAUACAUUGUCAGUACUGAAAGUAUUUCAGACGUCUGAAUUCUCUUUUAAUUCCUAUUAUAUUUUCUCCCACUUUCCAGAAAACCUGAGUAUUUUUUUAACUGCCUUUUCCAUUAAUAUGCCCUUUUAAUUGCCUGGAAAUUUAUCCUAAAUUUGAUUCUGUUCCAAACACUUGUUCAGCAAAACUGGCUGAUGAUUAGCCAUUUCUGGACCAGAGUUUAUUACAAGAAAAACAUAUAUGAACCCUCUGUGGAAUUUUCCAAGAUUUCUGGAGAGGAAAAGCAAUAUCCUCUUUGUAGUACAGAGUGAGCAGAUAUUCUAGUCCCAGCUUUGCUGCUAACUUUCCUGUGUAACUUUGGACAAAUUGCUAAAUUUCUUCUGCCUGUUUUCUUGCUUUGUAAAAGAAGCUAAUAUUAACUUGCCACCCAAUAAUUUGACAAGUCUGAGUGAACGUUUGCAAAGUAGUCUGAGAAUGUCAGAUGGAAAGUGUUAUGAAAGUCCACUAGCCAAAGAGGAUAUUUACAAUAGGUUUUUAUUUUAUUUAGUGAAAUAAAAAUGUUCAAGCGUAUAACCAGAUGAGACCAGGACUGAUCUAAAAUUAAAUGCAGGAGGCAUUUUUUGACCUUUCAACAGAAAUUAUAUAAGCACUCAUAGGUUAUAAAUAGUCCUUUGUUUCCCUUCUCUUUGUCUAACACUCAGAAGAAACACAGGGUUAGUUGUUUGUUAUGAAGAGAUAGGGCAAUGCUUUAGAGUGGAAACAAUUGUUCACUGUUCUGUAUUUAUACAGUUCCUAUAAUGUUUGUAACUAGCAUUUGUUGCUUUUCUUAGCACUUUUUUGUCUUCAAAAAGCCACAGAAAUAAACUUUCUAGACCUGAAAAUGACAACACCAAAAGAAAACCCAAACACUCACCUGCCCAUUUCAAAUGUGAAAGUUUCUUUUCUCUUCACCUGUUUGAUAUGUGACUGAAAAAAAAGCCAGUGCUAAACUAUUGUUAAACUGGUACAUAAAUACUUGUAUAUUAUUUCCUAUUUUUAUUACAAAUCCUCAGAAAUAAGACAUGAAAUGUGUCCCCCCUUAAAUGAAAGUAUUUUUAUUCGUGUUGAGGAUAAUGAUAUUGAAUUCUUCACAGAAUGAUGUGUGUGUAUGUAUAUAUGUUCAUAUUUCCAAAUAUGUUUAGUUUCAACAGUAGUCCUUUCCUUGAACAACCAAUAAAUGCUUAACUAACAGCAAUUUAACUUUGUGUUU